rnacentral:pre_miRNA from 1 species
UGGACAAAUUAUUGUAUUCGACUGUACGUAUUCACGGCGUAAAACAGGGGAUUACACUGUUUUUAAAUGGAAAAUGAAUCAAUUAACAUAAUAGACUCCU